UACGUAGGCAGCAAGCGUUGUUCGGAGUUACUGGGCGUAAAGGGUGCGUAGGCGGCUUUUUAAGUUUGGUGUGAAAUCUCCCGGCUCAACUGGGAGGGUGCGCCGAAUACUGAGAGGCUAGAGUGCGGGAGAGGAAAGUGGAAUUCCUGGUGUAGCGGUGAAAUCCGUAAAUAUACGAAGGAACGCCAAAAGCGAAGGCAGCUCUCUGGGUCCCUACCGACGCUGGGGGGCGAAAGCAUGGGGAGCGAACAGG
rnacentral:rRNA from 1 species